rnacentral:lncRNA from 1 species
CCAGCAUGGACCACUGAUGCUUGGGCUGGGUAAACAGACACCUCUGGAAGGAAGCUGUCAGAAUUUCCACAAGUUUGCAGGAGCACAGUCCAAAUGCCUACCUACUAAUAGAAAUUACUAGAAAUAAAGCCCACCACUGCUCUUUGGGUAGUAGAGAUAGUUUUUGAAACUGGAGCAAAGAAUCAUUGUCUGGGACUUGAGAGAAAAAAAAAAUUUGAGAAGUGCUGCAUGGAUGUCAUGUGACUGGGUGAUCUGAAGACUCUGAAGACACCUUUCAGGGAUGCUCUGUAGAUGGCAUGAACACAUAUGUAUGUAGGAAAGCAAAGAAAGCCA